rnacentral:antisense_RNA from 1 species
AUCGUCCUGGGGCAGUUUGCACGCUGAUGGCCCAAGGUCCGCGACCCAGGUUCGCUUGAGUCUCUAUCAGAGGGCAAGUCAGCUGUGCUUUAUGGACAAUACGCUCCUCAGGCCUUGACCGCCUACUUCCCCAGUGGGUACAGCCACUCCUUCCGCUGCUGCUUCUUGGUCUUCGGGUUCUCCUCAUGCUUGUUGAGCCGGCGGCGCAUGGCGUGUGUCUUCUUAGGCCGCAGGUCCAGGGACUUGUACUUCUUGCCCUUGUAGAAUUUCCUGAGGUUUUCUUUCUGAGUCUGGUUAAUAACUGUGAGAACACGGGCAAUGGAUUUGCGGACGACUCGGAUCUUAGAGAGCUUGGAGGCCACACGGCCUGUCACUUUGGCAACGCGCAGCUAGGACAGCUCCACCUUCAGGUCGUCCAGCUAUU